rnacentral:ncRNA from 1 species
UUGGCAUAGUAUUUAUGACCAGGGAUAAUAGGGAAAUGGGUGAGAAACCCAUGCGGUCCCGCCGCUGUAAUGGAAGAGCAUACUUCACUUACCAAGGUAAGUAAUGUCACUGAGAAAUCGGGAAGACUGGAGUAUGUGUUGAAGCCAGAGCCAGAAGACCUGCCUCACUA